rnacentral:rRNA from 1 species
GUGAGGAAUAUUGCGCAAUGGAGGCAACUCUGACGCAGCCAUGCCGCGUGCAGGAAGAAGGCGCUACGCGUUGUAAACUGCCUUUAACCGGGAAGAAACCCCAGGACGUGUCCUGGGUUGACGGUACCGGAGGAAUAAGCACCGGCUAACUUCGUGCCAGCAGCCGCGGUAAUCCGAAGGGUGCAAGCGUUAUCCGGAUUCAUUGGGUUGAAAGGGUGCGUAGGCGGAGCGUUAAGUCAGUGGUGAAAUCCUGCAGCUUAACUGUAGACUUGCAAUUGAUACUGGCGCUCUUGAGUGCGCUUGAAGUGGGCGGAAUGUGCCGUGUAGCGGUGAAAUGCUUAGAUAUGGCACAGAACACCAAUUGCGAGGGCAGCUCACUAAGGCGAUACUGACGCUGAGGCACGAAAGCGUGGGGAUCGAACAGGAUUAGAUACCCGAGUAGUCC